GCAUCAGAUUUCUUAUUUCUCUUGUUUGAAGAUGAGGAACCCCCUUGGUCUCUAUCUCGUUGCGGCUCCGCAGCAGAAACAUCCAUGUCAUCCAAAGGGAUGUCAGCUUCGCAGUCAUAGAAUGAGUUUCUUUCUUCAUCCAUACCUGUAGUACGAACAUCCUCAGCAUUUAUUUCUUCAAGAACAUCAGCAGCUGUUUGAGCAUCUUUCCCAGUUGCUCGAUCUCUUGCGUAUAUGGUAGUAAGCUGGUCGUAGUAAGGGAAAGUACG
rnacentral:lncRNA from 1 species